CAGAGCAUAGCUAAAAUAGCUAAAGCGUCUCCCUUACACCGAGAAGUCAUCCGUGCAAGUCGGAUUGCCCUGA
rnacentral:tRNA from 1 species